UACAUUCUGACAAAAGUAAAGCCUGC
rnacentral:piRNA from 1 species